rnacentral:lncRNA from 1 species
UCCUCUUUGACAUGCAUGACCCUGAAUCCAAUUACUUACUCACCACCUCCUCAAAGUAGCAUCUGAGACGCGUACUUCAGACGUUGUUAAUGUGUGGUUCUUGUGUCCAUGAACCAGAGGAGGCCAGGAGAAGAGCCAGAAACAGGAGAGCCAAACCUUCUCCACGUAGAGCCAAACGCCCAGUGAGCGAUGACGAAGACGAGGAGGAGGAGGAGGAAGAGCCCCCGAGGAGGAAAGGACGGCGGGGGAAGGCCAAGGUGCAGGACAGUGAUGAGGAGGAGGAAGAGGAGGAGAAAAAGGGCAGGAAAAAGAAACCUGUCAAAGCUUCCAACAGGAAGAAAAAGGCAGUGAAGGAGGAGAGUGAGGAAGAGGAGGAGGAGAGCGCAGAGGAACGAGGGAAGAAUAAAAAACGAGGCAAAGCGCCGAGCAAAAAGGAGAAGGAGGAGCAGAACAAGGUGAAGAAAAGCGGCAAGGACAAAGGAAGCGAGAAAAACAAGAGAAAGAACAGUGGAAAGUUCAGCAGUAAACAGCCAAAGUUGUCUUGUUUGGAAGGAGAGGCAUGUGAGAGGUUGUCCAUUUAGAGUCAAGCCCCAGGUGAACCAUGAAAGCUCUGUCCUUUUGACAGCUCGUCGGGGUCGGGUUCUGACUCUGACUCUCUGUCGGAGGGCGAGAUGGAGCUCCUGAAGGAGGAGGUAGAGGAGAAGAAGAAGCUCAUCACGACUUUGAGGAACAAACCCUGGCGCAUGAAGAGGAGACUCCAACAACUCAAGUAACCAAAACAAUACCACAAAAACCAAGCGGUUAACAUUCAACAGCUCUUCUGCUUGUUGUUCCAUUUUUCUAACUUUGAAUUUCCUUUUUUGAUCCGCUUGCUUGUUGUAGUGCAUUAGCUCUUCAGUCUACUAGUUGCUUUCUUAACGGCUGAAAUAUAUUCUUG